rnacentral:lncRNA from 1 species
AUACACAGGAUUGAAUCUUUUGUGGUGACUUCCCUUUUCAAAUCGAUGAUGUCUUGACCCUCUUAUUAUCACAUUCAGAUUCAUUUCUAAUCUUUUUUUUUUUUUGGUAAACUUGUCCUUUCUAUUCCUAUCCUUGAUCUCUAGAAAUUCUUUUGAUCAUCAGAAUAAUUUCGUGCAUCAAAUAUCUUCUCCAAUCGCAUCAUCUAUUUUUCUGCUACCAAUGUAUUAGGUUCACCACACUUCUACUGCGCUACUCUAAUUUAAUAUCCUCGAUCAACCCUUUUA